rnacentral:rRNA from 1 species
GUCUACGGCCAUGCCACCCUGAACAAACCUGAUCCCAUCUGAUCUCGGAAGCUAAGUAGGGUCGGGCCUGGUUAGUACUUGGAUGGGAGACCACCUAGGAAGACCAGGUGCUUCAGGCG